AGUUUGACAUGCUUGAUAUAAAGUGUCUGAAUUAAAUCAUAAUGAAAAAUGAAGUCUAAUGUUACAAAAUGUCUUAUCUUGGGAGAGGAAAUAAACACAUUUUUGCUCUUUCAGUCUGUUUAUAAGGGUUUUGGUCGCCGUCCUGAAGACAGACAUCUCUCAUUGCAGGAACGGAAGGAAGCGUUAUAUGAGUGUGCACGGAGGUAAGUGAAAGAAGCUGCAGUAGAUGUGAAGACGAGUAGACAAUCUAUGUAAAUAGCACUUCGUUUUUGCUGUAAUUAUUACUCUAUCCGUCUUCCUGUGCCAUUGCUGUAAUUAUUGCUCUAUCCCACUUCCUGUGCCAUUGCUGUAAUUAUUGCUCUAUCCCACUUCCUGUGCCAUUGCUGUAAUUAUUGCUCUAUCCCACUUCCUGUGCCAUUGCUGUAAUUAUUGCUCUAUCCCACUUCCUGUACCAUUGCUGUAAUUAUUACACUAUCCCACUUCCUGUGCCAUUGCUGUAAUUAUUGCUCUAUCUCACUUCCUGUGCCAUUGCUGUAAUUAUUGCUCUAGCCCACUUCCUGUGCCAUUGCUGUAAUUAUUGCUCUAUCCCUCUUCCUGUGCCAUUGCUGUAAUUAUUGCUCUAUCCCUCUUCCUGUGCCAUUGCUGUAAUUAUUACUCUCUCUCUCUACCAUUGCUGUAAUUAUUGCUCUAUCCCACUUCCUGUACCAUUGCUGUAAUUAUUACACUAUCCCUCUUCCUGUGCCAUUGCUGUAAUUAUUACUAUAUCCGUCUUCCUGUUCCAUUGCUGUAAUUAUUACUAUAUCCGUCUUCCUGUGCCAUUGCUGUAAUUAUUGCUCUAUCCCACUUCCUGUGCCAUUGCUGUAAUUAUUGCUCUAUCCCACUUCCUGUGCCAUUGCUGUAAUUAUUGCUCUAUCCCACUUCCCGUACCAUUGCUGUAAUUAUUACACUAUCCCACUUCCUGUGCCAUUGCUGUAAUUAUUGCUCUAUCUCACUUCCUGUGCCAUUGCUGUAAUUAUUGCUCUAUCCCACUUCCUGUGCCAUUGCUGUAAUUAUUGCUCUAUCCCUCUUCCUGUGCCAUUGCUGUAAUUGCUCUAUCCCCUUCCUGUGCCAUUGUGUAAUUAUUACACUAUCCUCUUCCUGUGCCAUUGCUGUAAUUAUUGCUCUAUCCUCUUCCUGUGCCAUUGCUGUAAUUAUUGCUCUAUCCCACUUCCUGUGCCAUUGCUGUAAUUAUUGCUCUAUCCCUCUUCCUGUGCCAUUGCUGUAAUUAUUACUCUAUCCGUCUUCCUGUGCCAUUGCUGUAAUUAUUGCUCUAUCCCACUUCCUGUGCCAUUGCUGUAAUUAUUACUCUAUCCGCUUCCUGUGCCAUUGCUGUAAUUAUUACCUAUCCCACUUCCUGUGUUAUUGCUCUAUCCCACUUCCUGUGCCAUUGCUGUAAUUUGCUCUAUCCCUCUUCCUGUGCCAUUGCUGUAAUUAUUACACUAUCCCUCUUCCUGUGCCAUUGCUGUAAUUAUUGCUCUAUCCCACUUCCUGUGCCAUUGCUGUUAUUAUUGCUCUAUCCCACUUCCUGUGCCAUUGCUGUAAUUAUUACUCUCUCUCUCUCUACCAUUGCUGUAAUUAUUGCUCUAUCCCACUUCCUGUGCCAUUGCUGUAAUUAUUGCUCUAUCCCUCUUCCUGUACCAUUGCUGUAAUUAUUACACUAUCCCUCUUCCUGUGCUAUUGCUGUAAUUAUUGCUCUAACCCACUUCCUGUGCCAUUGCUGUAAUUAUUGCUCUAUCCCUCUUCCUGUACCAUUGCUGUAAUUAUUACACUAUCCCUCUUCCUGUGCCAUUGCUGUAAUUAUUACUAUAUCCCUCUUCCUGUGCCAUUGCUGUAAUUAUUACUAUAUCCGUCUUCCUGUGCCAUUGCUGUAAUUAUUGCUCCAUCACACUUCCUGUGCCAUUGCUGUAAUUAUUGCUCUAUCCGUCUUCCUGUGCCAUUGCUGUAAUUAUUACUCUAUCCCUCUUCCUGUGCCAUUGCUGUAAUUAUUACUCUAUCCCUCUACCAUUGCUGUAAUUAUUACUCUAUUCCUCUUCCUGUGCCAUUGCUGUAAUUAUUACUAUAUCCGUCUUCCUGUGCCAUUGCUGUAAUUAUUGCUCUAUCCCUCUUCCUGUGCCAUUGCUGUAAUUAUUGCUCUAUCCGUCUUUCUGUGCCAUUGCUGUAAUUAUUGCUCUAUCCGUCUUUCUGUGCCAUUGCUGUAAUUAUUACUCUAUCCCUCUUCCUCUACCAUUGCUGUAAUUAUUACUCUAUCCCUCUACCAUUGCUGUAAUUAUUACUCUAUCCCUGUGCCAUUGCUGUAAUUAUUGCUCUGUCCCUCUACCAUUGCUGUAAUUAUUGCUCUGUCCCUCUGCAAUUGCUGUAAUUAUUGCUCUGUCCCUCUACCAUUGCUGUAAUUAUUGCUCUAUCCCUAUCCCUCUACCAUUGCUGUAAUUAUUGCUCUGUCCCUCUACCAUUGCUGUAAUUAUUGCUCUGUCCCUCUACCAUUGCUGUAAUUAUUGCUCUAUCCCUAUCCCUCUACCAUUGCUGUAAUUAUUGCUCUGUCCCUCUACCAUUGCUGUAAUUAUUGCUCUGUCCCUCUACCAUUGCUGUAAUUAUUGCUCUAUCCUUCUUCCUGUGCAAUUGCUGUAAUUAUUGCUCUAUACUGCUCCCUUCAAAUAUCUCUUCCCUGUGCCGGUAUAUGACAUUGCUCUUUUUUUUUUUUUCCUUCUUGAAUAACAUGUUUUUCAUAUUCAUCUCUCCUCUCCUCCUUUCUUCAUACAUGAUGCAUUUAACCAGAAGAUACCUGGAUAAGUUUGGAUCACUCGGCACAGAAGAAGAGGAAGCACAGUGCUAAGGUGCCAUUAACAAGCCACGGCAGCAGGAGAGACCUUGAUGUUAUUGGGAGGGAAAGUUUGCGAUCGCAGUUGGUGUUAUCGACUCCUUUAAAUGAUUGAAAGGAAUGAUUGAAGACUCUUACUGCUCUGUGCAGAGUAAACACUAUGGUUGAAUCCUGCAAGGAGAAACUAUCUCUGUAUCUGAAACAUGUUUGUUGUCCAUAAACUGAUAGGUUGAGCCAAUGCUUACAGUAUGAUCCAUAUGACAUUUUCCGCACACAUGUCCUAAUCCUCUAAUUCUGGGUCUCUAGCCAAAAACCUUAUGCGGAUACAAGCAGUGUGCGUAUUGGCUGCUAUUCUAUAGUCAUUGCACAUGGACUCCUUACAAAUUACUCUCAUUUAUUCUGCUCAGUGUCUAUGGACUCUCUACACAGACACAUUAAUAAUGGGCUCAGUGUAUACACACAUAUGAAUGCUGGGCUCAGUGUACACAGACUCUGCAAAGACACACAUGAAUACUGGUCUCGGUGCACACGGACUCUCUGCACAGACACACAUGAAUAUUGGGCUCAGUGUACAUGGACUCUGCACAGCAAGGCCUGAAUGCUGAGCUCAGUGUACAUGGACUCUCUGCACAGCAAGGCCUGAAUGUUGGGCUCAGUGUACAUGGACUCUCUGCACAGCAAGGCCUGAAUGUUGGGCUCAGUGAACAUGGACUCUAUGCAUAGCAAGGCCUGAAUAUUGGGCUCAGUGAACAUGGACUCUCUGCACAGCAAGGCCUGAAUAUUGGGUUCAGUGUACAUGGACUCUCUGCACAGACACACAUGAAUAUUGGGCUCAGUGUACAUGGACUCUCUGCACAGCAUGUCCUGAAUAUUGGGCUCAGUGUACAUAGACUCUGCACAGACACACAUGAAUACUGGGCUCAGUGUACACGGACUCUCUGCAAAGACACACACGAAUACUGGACUCAGUGUAAAUGGACUCUCUUCACAGGAAAGGCUGAAUACUGGGCUCAGUGUACACGGACUCUCUGCACAGACACAUGAAUAGUGGACUCAGUGUACACAGACUCUCUGCACAGCAAGGUCUGAAUACUGGGCUCAGUGUACGCGGAAUCUCUGCACAUCAAGGACUGAAUACUGGGCUCAGUGUACAUCCCAUUUCCUGUGCAGGAAUGCAGGCUUAAUUAAGGGAAGCAAUUGCUUUGUUGAAUUAGGGAUCUGCUGUGUUGUUUUAAAUGGGGCAGUGCUUUAUUAAUGUAAUACUUUUUUUAAAAUAAAAGGUGAUUUCCAUUGUCUGCA